ACCUGGUUGGCUCAGUGGUUGAGCAUCUGCCUUUGGCUCAGGUCAUGAUCCCAGGGUCCUGGAAUCAAGUCCCAGAUCAGGCU
rfam:Canis lupus familiaris chromosome X, whole genome shotgun sequence.